rnacentral:rRNA from 1 species
UGGGGAAUUUUGGACAAUGGGCGAAAGCCUGAUCCAGCAAUGCCGCGUGUGUGAAGAAGGCCUUCGGGUUGUAAAGCACUUUUGUCCGGAAAGAAAUCCUUGGCUCUAAUACAGUCGGGGGAUGACGGUACCGGAAGAAUAAGCACCGGCUAACUACGUGCCAGCAGCCGCGGUAAUACGUAGGGUGCAAGCGUUAAUCGGAAUUACUGGGCGUAAAGCGUGCGCAGGCGGUUUGCUAAGACCGAUGUGAAAUCCCCGGGCUCAACCUGGGAACUGCAUUGGUGACUGGCAGGCUAGAGUAUGGCAGAGGGGGGUAGAAUUCUACGUGUAGCAGUGAAAUGCGUAGAGAUGUGGAGGAAUACCGAUGGCGAAGGCAGCCCCCUGGGCCAAUACUGACGCUCAUGCACGAAAGCGUGGGGAGCAAACAGGAUUAGAUACCCUGGUAGUCCACGCCCUAAACGAUGUCAACUAGUUGUUGGGGAUUCAUUUCCUUAGUAACGUAGCUAACGCGUGAAGUUGACCGCCUGGGGAGUACGGUCGCAAGAUUAAAACUCAAAUGAAUUGACGGGGUCAUAGCUG